GGAAUAUUGGACAAUGGGCGAAAGCCUGAUCCAGCAAUGCCGCGUGAGUGAUGAAGGCCUUAGGGUUGUAAAGCUCUUUUACUAGGGAUGCUAAUGACAGUACCUAGCGAAUAAGCUCCGGCUAACUCCGUGCCAGCAGCCGCGGUAAUACGGAGGGAGCUAGCGUUGUUCGGAAUUAAUGGGCGUAAAGCGCACGUAGGCGGCUUAUUAAGUCAGGGGUGAAAUCCCGGGGCUCAACCCCGGAACUGCCUUUGAAACUGGUAAGCUAGAAUCCUGGAGAGGCGAGUGGAAUUCCGAGUGUAGAGGUGAAAUUCGUAGAUAUUCGGAAGAACACCAGUGGCGAAGGCGACUCGCUGGACAGGUAUUGACGCUGAGGUGCGAAAGCGUGGGGAGCAAAC
rnacentral:rRNA from 1 species